ACUUAUUUUACCAACUGGGGUCAUUUUGGCCCCAAGAACAAACUGUUUGAAAAAGCAACAAUAAUUGCAAAACAUUAACUUAUUAAAACAUAAUUACACAUGUAAAUAAUGUUAUCUGAAAUUUAAAAAAUCCAAAACAGACUGUUGUUUUAGCAACAUUACAGUUAAUUUGCAUAUUUUGCGAAACAAAGAUGUACCCUUAAAUAAUGUGCAACUUUUUUCCGAAGGACAAUCCACAUUAAUACUAAGAAGCUGAUUUAUCAUCAUUUCAUUGUAGUAUCAUUUAGUUUUUGCUAGUUAUUUUUGCUAGUUAUUGAAAAAACGGAUUCGUUCAUUGAUCCUGGGAGACAAUUACCAAAAAUAAGGCUUAGUUCUUUAUUUACUUACCCCACUGCCAGCAUUAGCAUCACUGUGAACCCAUGGGAGUGGUAGGAUGGCAGGAUGCUUCCUAAAGCAUGCUCAAACCCUAAAUGUGACUUCAAACCAAAUGUUAUAGCAACCCAAAUACCAUAACAAGUUGCACAUAUAGAAUAUUGGAGGAUAUUAUACUAAUUCUGGUAUUUAUAUAACAUUAACGUAGACUAACUAUAUUUUGAAUAAUACAAAUCAAUACAGCACUAUGUGUACAUUCAGAUGGUAGCUGGUUUCUGCAUUACAGUUCUACCAAGUAUUCAUACCACAGACAGACUUUAUGACCUCAAUGAUUGGAAGUCUAUGGGUAUCUACUAGCAUACUAGCAGAUACCCAGUGACUUCCAGUCAUUGCGCUAACACUAGUUAGCAUUGGCUUGUGAAACUAUAUCUACCUUCUUUCAUAUUGGACACAGAGACAUAAAAAUGGUAUCCACUAGUUCAUAUGACUCUGGGGAAGUAGAUAAAGGGUAUAAUUGCCAUAUUCAUGAAAUACUCCUUUAAGGAGCUUUGGAGAUUAUUCCACAUGAGAGGCGCAAAAAAAACUGAAAGCAGAUUUACUUAACUCCGUGGAGAUUGAAAGGAUCUUCAGGGUUAGCCAUCCCUGAGUCCAGGUCUGGUAACUGUGUGGUGAUUGAAGGGAUCUUCAGGGUUAGCCAUCCCUGAGUCCAGGUCUGGUAACUGUGUGGUGAUUGAAGGUAUCUUCAGGGUUAGCCAUCCCUGAGUCCAGGUCUGGUAACUGUGUGGUGAUUGAAGGUAUCUUCAGGGUUAGCCAUCCCUGAGUCCAGGUCUGGUAACUGUGUGGUGAUUGAAGGGAUCUUCAGGGUUAGCCAUCCCUGAGUCCAGGUCUGGUAACUGUGUGGUGAUUGAAGGGAUCUUCAGGGUUAGCCAUCCCUGAGUCCAGGUCUGGUAACUGUGUGGUGAUUGAAGGUAUCUUCAGGGUUAGCCAUCCCUGAGUCCAGGUCUGGUAACUGUGUGGUGAUUGAAGGUAUCUUCAGGGUUAGCCAUCCCUGAGUCCAGGUCUGGUAACUGUGUGGUGAUUGAAGGUAUCUUCAGGGUUAGCCAUCCCUGAGUCCAGGUCUGGUAACUGUGUGGUGAUUGAAGGGAUCUUCAGGGUUAGCCAUCCCUGAGUCCAGGUCUGGUAACUGUGUGGUGAUUGAAGGUAUCUUCAGGGUUAGCCAUCCCUGAGUCCAGGUCUGGUAACUGUGUGGUGAUUGAAGGGAUCUUCAGGGUUAGCCAUCCCUGAGUCCAGGUCUGGUAACUGUGUGGUGAUUGAAGGGAUCUUCAGGGUUAGCCAUCCCUGAGUCCAGGUCUGGUAACUGUGUGGUGAUUGAAGGGAUCUUCAGGGUUAGCCAUCCCUGAGUCCAGGUCUGGUAACUGUGUGGUGAUUGAAAGGAUCUUCAGGGUUAGCCAUCCCUGAGUCCAGGUCUGGUAACUGUGUGGUGAUUGAAGGGAUCUUCAGGGUUAGCCAUCCCUGAGUCCAGGUCUGGUAACUGUGUGGUGAUUGAAGGUAUCUUCAGGGUUAGCCAUCCCUGAGUCCAGGUCUGGUAACUGUGUGGUGAUUGAAGGGAUCUUCAGGGUUAGCCAUCCCUGAGUCCAGGUCUGGUAACUGUGUGGUGAUUGAAGGGAUCUUCAGGGUUAGCCAUCCCUGAGUCCAGGUCUGGUAACUGUGUGGUGAUUGAAGGGAUCUUCAGGGUUAGCCAUCCCUGAGUCCAGGUCUGGUAACUGUGUGGUGAUUGAAGGUAUCUUCAGGGUUAGCCAUCCCUGAGUCCAGGUCUGGUAACUGUGUGGUGAUUGAAGGUAUCUUCAGGGUUAGCCAUCCCUGAGUCCAGGUCUGGUAACUGUGUGGUGAUUGAAGGGAUCUUCAGGGUUAGCCAUCCCUGAGUCCAGGUCUGGUAACUGUGUGGUGAUUGAAGGGAUCUUCAGGGUUAGCCAUCCCUGAGUCCGGGUCUGGUAAGUUA